CAAGUUAGCGAAGACCAGGGGUCAUGCGGAAGGGCUUGGUUUUUUUAAUUAAUUUCCCUCCUUUCCUUGGGUGCUCUCGCUUCUAUCGCUACCCUAUUAGGGAGCCAUUCCUCGAUGUAAAAUCUCCUUUUCCAACUCAAGCUUGUUGCAGCCAACUCCCUAUCGUCUGUCAUCGGUGAAGAGCACUACAUGACAAAAUCCUUACA
rnacentral:lncRNA from 1 species